rnacentral:rRNA from 1 species
UACGUCGGGACCAAGCGUUGUCCGGAUUUACUGGGCGUAAAGAGCGCGCAGGCGGUCGUUCAAGUCGCGUGUGAAAGCCCCCGGCUCAACUGGGGAGGGUCACGCGAUACUGAUCGACUGGAAGGCAGGAGAGGGUAGUGGAAUUCCCGGUGUAGUGGUGAAAUGCGUAGAUAUCGGGAGGAACACCAGUGGCGAAGGCGACUACCUGGCCUGUUCUUGACGCUGAGGCGCGAAAGCUAGGGGAGCAAACGGG